rnacentral:rRNA from 1 species
UACGGAGGGUGCAAGCGUUAUCCGGAUUCACUGGGUUUAAAGGGUCCGUAGGCGGUUUUGUAAGUCAGUGGUGAAAGCCCAUCGCUCAACGGUGGAACGGCCAUUGAUACUGCAAGACUUGAAUUAUUAGGAAGUAACUAGAAUAUGUAGUGUAGCGGUGAAAUGCUUAGAUAUUACAUGGAAUACCAAUUGCGAAGGCAGGUUACUACUAGUGGAUUGACGCUGAUGGACGAAAGCGUGGGGGAGCGAACAGG